UACAGAGGUCUCAAGCGUUGUUCGGAUUCAUUGGGCGUAAAGGGUGCGUAGGCGGCGCGGUAAGUCGGGUGUGAAAUCUCGGAGCUUAACUCCGAAACUGCAUUCGAUACUGCCGUGCUUGAGGACUGGAGAGGAGACUGGAAUUUACGGUGUAGCGGUGAAAUGCGUAGAUAUCUGGAGGAAUACCGGUGGCGAAGGCGGCAUCCUGGACCGACAUUGACGCUGAACGGCGAAAAGCUAGGGGAGCAAACGGG
rnacentral:rRNA from 1 species